rnacentral:rRNA from 1 species
GCUGAAAUUCGCCUUCAUGAAGCUGGAAUUGCUAGUAAUGGCAGGUCAGCAUACUGCCGUGAAUACGUUCCCGGGCCUUGUACACACCGCCCGUCACACCAUGAGAGUUGGAAAUACCCGAAGCCUGUGAGCUAACUUUUAGAGGCAGCAGUCGAAGGUAGAGCCAAUGAUUGGGGUGAAGUCGUAACAAGGUAUC